rnacentral:rRNA from 1 species
CAAGUCGACGGUAACGCGGGGCAACCUGGCGACGAGUGGCGAACGGGUGAGUAAUACAUCGGAACGUGCCCAGUAGUGGGGGAUAGCCCGGCGAAAGCCGGAUUAAUACCGCAUACGACCUACGGGUGAAAGGGGGGGAUCGCAAGACCUCUCGCUAUUGGAGCGGCCGAUGUCAGAUUAGGUAGUUGGUGGGGUAAAAGCCCACCAAGCCAACGAUCUGUAGCUGGUCUGAGAGGACGACCAGCCACACUGGGACUGAGACACGGCCCAGACUCCUACGGGAGGCAGCAGUGGGGAAUUUUGGACAAUGGGCGCAAGCCUGAUCCAGCCAUGCCGCGUGCGGGAAGAAGGCCUUCGGGUUGUAAACCGCUUUUGUCAGGGAAGAAACGCUCUGGGUUAAUACCUCGGAGUAAUGACGGUACCUGAAGAAUAAGCACCGGCUAACUACGUGCCAGCAGCCGCGGUAAUACGUAGGGUGCAAGCGUUAAUCGGAAUUACUGGGCGUAAAGCGUGCGCAGGCGGUUAUGCAAGACAGAUGUGAAAUCCCCGGGCUUAACCUGGGAACUGCAUUUGUGACUGCAUGGCUAGAGUGCGGCAGAGGGGGAUGGAAUUCCGCGUGUAGCAGUGAAAUGCGUAGAUAUGCGGAGGAACACCGAUGGCGAAGGCAAUCCCCUGGGCCUGCACUGACGCUCAUGCACGAAAGCGUGGGGGGCAAACAGGAUUAGAUACCCUGGUAGUCCACGCCCUAAACUAUGUCAACUGGUUGUUGGGAGGGUUCCUUCUCAGUAACGAAGCUAACGCGUGAAGUUGACCGCCUGGGGAAUACGGCCGCAAGGUUGAAACUCAAAGGAAUUGACGG